GACGUAGGAUGCGAGCGUUGUCCGGAUUUAUUGGGCGUAAAGAGUUCGUAGGUGGUUCAUUAAGUCUGGUGUAAAAGACUGGGGCUCAACCCUGGGAUGGCACUGGAUACUGGUGGACUCGAGUCCGGUAGGGGAGUGUGGAAUUCCCGGUGUAGCGGUGAAAUGCGCAGAGAUCGGGAGGAACACCCGUAGCGAAGGCGGCACUCUGGGCCGGUACUGACGCUGAGGAGCGAAAGCGUGGGGAGCGAACAGG
rnacentral:rRNA from 1 species